rnacentral:rRNA from 1 species
AGUUUGAUUAUGGUUCGAUGUAUUGAACGCUGGCGGGAUGCUUUACACUACGCAAGUCGAACGGCAGCACGGACUUCGGUCUGGUGGCGAGGGCGAACGGGUGAGUAAUGUAUCGGAACGUGCCUAGUAGCGGGGGAUAACUACGCGAAAGCGUAGCUAAUACCGCAUGCCCUUCGGGGGAAAGCGGGGGACCUUCAGCCUCGCACUAUUAGAGCGGCCGAUAUCGGAUUUAGUUGGUGGGGUAACGGCUCACCAAGGCGACGAUCCGUAGCUGGUUUGAGAGGACGACCAGCCACACUGGGACUGAGACACGGCCCAGACUCCUACGGGAGGCAGCAGUGGGGAAUUUUGGACAAUGGGGGAACCCGAUCCAGCCAUCCCGCGUACAUAAUACCCUCGGGUUGUAAAGCACUUUUGGCAUAGAAAGAAACGGCACGGGAUAAUACCCGUGCAACGGCGACGGUACCUGCAGAAUAAGCACCGGCUAACUACGUGCCAGCAGCCGCGGUAAUACGCGGGUGCAAGCGUUAAUCGAAUUACUGGGCGUAAAGCGUGCAGGCGGUUCGGAAAGAAAGAUGUGAAAUCCCAGAGCUUAACUUUGAACUGCAUUUUUAAUCACCGAGCUAGAGUGGUAGUCAGAGGAGGUGGAAUUCGCGUGUAGCAGUGAAAUGCGUAGAUAUGCGGAGUGGAACACCGACAUAUAAGCAGCCUUCUGGGAUAACACUGACGCUCAUGCACGAAAGCGUGGGGAGCAAACAGGAUUAGAUACCCUGGUAGUCCACGCCCCCAAACGAUGUCAACUAUUGCUAAACUGGGCCUGGUAGCGCAGCUAACGCGUGAAGUUGACCCGCCUGGGGAGUACGGUCGCAAGAUUAAAACUCAAAGGAAUUGACGGGGACCUGCACAAGCGGUGGAUGAUGUGGAUUAAUUCGAUGCAGCAACGCGAAACCUUACCUACCCUUGACAUGUCUGGAAUCCCUGAAGAGAUUUGGGAGUGCUCGCAAGAGAACCGGAACACAGGUGCUGUAGCUGGUCGUCAGCUCGUGUCGUGAGAUGCUGGUUAAGUCCCGCAACGAGCGCAACCCUUGUCAUUAUUGCUACGAAAGGGCACUCUAAUGAGACUGCCGGUGACAAACUGAGGAAGGUGGGAUGACGUCAAGUCCUCAUGGUCUUGCGGUAGGGUGGUUUCACACGUCAUACAAUGGUCGGGACAGAGGGUCGCCAACCCGCGAGGGGGAGCCAAUCCCAGAAACCUGACUGUCCGGAUCGGCAGUGUCUGCAACUCGACUGGGUGAAGUCGGAAUCGCUAGUAAUCGCGGAUCAGCAUGUCGCGGUGAAUACGUUCCGGGUCUUGUACACACCGCCUGUCACACCAUGGGAGUGGGUUUUACCAGAAGUAGUUAGCCUAACCGUAAGGAGGUGAUUACCACGGUAGGAUUCAUGACUGGGUGAAGUCGUAACAAGGUA